rnacentral:rRNA from 1 species
GAUGAACGCUAGCUACAGGCUUAACACAUGCAAGUCGAGGGGCAGCAUUGGUAUAGCUUGCUAUACCAGAUGGCGACCGGCGCACGGGUGAGUAACGCGUAUCCAACCUUCCCCUUAGUAGGGCAUAGCCCGGCGAAAGUCGGAUUAAUACCCUAUGUUCUUCACAGCGGGCAUCUAACGUGAAGCAAAGAUUCAUCGCUAAGGGAUGGGGAUGCGUCUGAUUAGGCAGCAGGCGGGGUAACGGCCCACCUGGCCAACGAUCAGUAGGGGGUUCUGAGAGGAAGGUCCCCCACAUUGGAACUGAGACACGGUCCAAACUCC